GACGAACGCUGGCGGCGUGCCUAAUACAUGCAAGUUGAGCGAUGAAGCUUGGUGCUUGCACCAAUUUGAAGAGCAGCGAACGGGUGAGUAACGCGUGGGGAAUCUGCCUUUGAGCGGGGGACAACAUUUGGAAACGAAUGCUAAUACCGCAUAACAACUUUAAACAUAAGUUUUAAGUUUGAAAGAUGCAAUUGCAUCACUCAAAGAUGAUCCCGCGUUGUAUUAGCUAGUUGGUGAGGUAAAGGCUCACCAAGGCGAUGAUACAUAGCCGACCUGAGAGGGUGAUCGGCCACAUUGGGGCUGAGACACGGCCCAAACUCCUACGGGAGGCAGCAGUAGGGAAUCUUCGGCAAUGGACGAAAGUCUGACCGAGCAACGCCGCGUGAGUGAAGAAGGUUUUCGGAUCGUAAAACUCUGUUGGUAGAGAAGAACGUUGGUGAGAGUGGAAAGCUCAUCAAGUGACGGUAACUACACAGAAAGGGACGGCUAACUACGUG
rnacentral:rRNA from 1 species